rnacentral:tRNA from 1 species
GCAGAAGUGGCGGAAUUGGUAGACGCGCAGGCUUCAGGUGCCUGUGACCGCAAGGCCGUGAGGGUUCAAGUCCCUUCUUCUGCAUCA